CCCCCACACUUUUCAUAUUUUCUGCAUUAUUCUUAGGUCAGGGCUUGCAACUGUCACUGGACUGCUCUGGGAGCUGAACCUGGAACAUUCUGAGCCCACCGAAGGCCACUGCUGAGAAAUCAGAUAAGGGGUAAUCCAGGCAUGGAUGUUAGAAAAUCCUCCUAGCAUAAUCCCUAUUAAACCACCCUAAGCAUGGUGCUUGUCAACACAGCUGGGAAAAGCAAGGUGAUGCCACCUUGAUGCCGGCAAAGGCCUUCACCAUGGCCACUUUACUGACUCCAAAUUCAGCAAGAUUACCUGGCUGCUUCUUUCUACGCCUCAAGUCUCAUCCUCUCCUCCAGCCUCUCCCUGUCCUGGUCCCCUCUUACCUUUCCCUUUAUUUACUCUCCAUUUAGAUUUUCUCAGCAUCUCUUUGAGGGAGGAGGAGGGAUUUGGGCAGGGGGCUGGUGGGGAAAUAUUCAAAAAGGAAGCAGGUGCUUCCAUGACCCUCCAUCAGACCAUCCCUAGAAUCCAAGCAUAAGCACCAGGGCCAUUCCAAGUUGGCCCAACAGACCACGUGACCCAGGGAGGUAAAUUUCCAAGCCUGCUCAAAGGAUGAUAAGUAAUUCACCUCCAGACUGAUAUGCUGGUUCCACUCACAUGGUAUUGGGGAGCUAGGAUUUGAGUCAGAUGAUAGGCUGAGACGAGAAGUCUCAGAUAAUAGUCUAGUUCUGAGGCUAACUUGAUAUCGACCCUAAGAAUUCACUUCCCCUCUCUGAGCCAUCUUUAUCUCCACCGCAAAAUGGGUCUGAUACAUCCCCUUAGACUGUGUUGAGCUCCGGUAAGAACUGAGGUUUGACCAGGCAAUCCCACUCUUGGGCAUACAUCCGGACAAAACUCUACUUAAUAGAGACACAUGCACCUGCAUGUUCAUUGCAGCAUGAUUCACAAUAGCCAGGACAUGGAAACAACCCAAAUGUCCAUCAACAGAUGAUUGGAUUCGGAAGAUGUGGUAUAUAUACAAAAUGGAAUACUACUCAGCCAUAAAAAAGAAUGACAUAAUGCCAUUUGCAGCAACAUGGAUGGAACUAGAGAAUCUCUGAGUGAAAUGAGUCAGAAAGACAAAGACAAAUACCAUAUGAUAUAUCACUUAUAACUGGAAUCUAAUAUCCAGCACAAAUGAACAUCUCCACAGAAAAGAAAAUCAUGGACUUGGAAAAUAGACUUGUGGCUGCCUGAUGGGAGAGGGAGGGAGUGGGAGGGAUCAGGAGCUUGGGGUUAUCAGACACAACUUAGAAUAGAUUUACAAGGAGAUCCUGCUGAGUAGCAUUGAGAACUAUGUCUAGAUACUCAUAUUGCAACAGAAAAAAGUGAGGGGAAAAAAAUGUAUACAUGUAAGGAUAACUUGAUUCCCUUGCUGUACAGUGGGAAAAAAAUAAAUUAAAAAUAAAUAAAUAAAUAAAUACAGAAAACAAGAGCUACUUGCUUAGCAGAUAAAUCAGCAAAAACAUUAAAAAAAAAAAAGAACUGAGAUUUGUCUCUUUUGUUCAGUGCUAUAUACCAAUAGGCACUCAUUACUAUAUGUUGAAUGAAAUAAAUACAAUAUCUAUCUAUUCGCUCGCACAGGGCUUCAUAUGAAGAACAAAUGGAAAGGUGAGGGCUUUGUGGGGUUCUUUGUUUUUUUGUUUUUGUUUUCGUUUUGUCUUUUUAGGGCCGCACCCAGGCCAUAUGGAGGUUCCCAGGCUAGGGGUCCAAUCGGAGAUUGUGCAUCGCCAGCCAAGCUAGACCCUGACAAAGUCCCUUCUGGUCAGAGCUUGCAAAAGUUUUGCACUGCCUUGGGCGAAAGCUCCUUCCCU
rnacentral:lncRNA from 1 species